GACGAACGCUGGCGGCGUGCUUAACACAUGCAAGUCGAGCGAUGAAGCACCUUCGGGUGUGAAUUAGCGGCGAACGGGUGAGGAACACGUGAGAAAUCUGCCUUCAACACUGGGAUAACUCCGGGAAACCGGGGCUAAUACCGGAUAUGAAACCUGCGGGCAUCCGCGGGUUUGGAAAGUUUUUCGGUUGAAGAUGAUCUCGCGGCCUAUCAGCUUGUUGGUGAGGUAAUGGCUCACCAAGGCGACGACGGGUAGCCGGCCUGAGAGGGCGACCGGCCACACUGGGACUGAGACACGGCCCAGACUCCUACGGGAGGCAGCAGUGGGGAAUAUUGCACAAUGGACGAAAGUCUGAUGCAGCAACGCCGCGUGGAGGAUGACCACAUUUCGGUGCGUAAAACUCCUUUUAUAUAGGAAGAUAAUGACGGUACUAUAUGAAUAAGCACCGGCUAAACUCCGUG
rnacentral:rRNA from 1 species